AACUCGAUUAUUUUCACUCUUAGAAAAACAACGUCUGUUCUUAUUCCCAAGUGUGCUCUUCAUACUGUAUCUUCAUCAUUUCUGAUCAUUCUCCUGUUCUGUUCAAGGAUAUGAAAAAAUAAUUCCAGGUGCAUGUGGAUUUUUCAACCACAUUGGUACUGAGGUGAAAGACAGUGUUGUAUCUGUUGGAAAUAUAAUCUAGCGGUUUGCAGGAGAGCGUGCCAGUGAAACAGCAGCAGCAAGCACUGCCAUCAGCUUCCAGCUGUUCUCGGUGAAUUCUCGUCCCAGUUACCGCAGCAGCUGGCUGACAGCCGAGAAACAGAGUCAAAUCUUAGGCUGUAUCACACUGAGAACUGGAAGAAACCACAAGCAAGAAGCAGUGAGAGAUUUGAGAAGAAUAUUGGCUUGAGUAUAUCUGCACGAGGACAAAUUAAUUCAGAAUAGAAGGACGUUUGGGCCAUUCUGUAAGAUGCAGAGGUCUUCAGCUGCCCAGAUCAAACCUGUGUUCAGAUCCAUGAGCACAUGUCAGUUUCCUUUGCUGCAAUGAUUUUGCUAGGAGCUGUGAGGAUUCUGACCUCUCUGGCACGCCGUCCAGCAGCACUCUCCACAGGGUCCCCGAACCUGCGCAGCGCAGUUAGAGCCUUGAACUUCCUGCUUUAGAAGGUGCCGCAAUCCCAAUUUUUAUCGUGGGGUUUUAGAGGAUGCUUUUUCACCUCCUUAUUGCAGAAACUGUCUACAUAUUUUCUGUAUAUAUACUUUGAUAUUGUAAUUCCUCUGUUGUUUUAUGAUAGGUUCUGUAGAAUUCCAAACAAUUUUUUAGUAUGAUUGCUACCCUCAUCUUCCCUCUAAUAAUCUAUGCUUAAAUCUAUC
rnacentral:lncRNA from 13 species